AUUGAACGCUGGCGGCAGGCCUAACACAUGCAAGUCGAGCGGAUGAGGGGAGCUUGCUCCUUGAUUCAGCGGCGGACGGGUGAGUAAUGCCUAGGAAUCUGCCUGGUAGUGGGGGAUAACGUUCCGAAAGGAACGCUAAUACCGCAUACGUCCUACGGGAGAAAGCAGGGGACCUUCGGGCCUUGCGCUAUCAGAUGAGCCUAGGUCGGAUUAGCUAGUUGGUGAGGUAAUGGCUCACCGAGGCGACGAUCCGUAACUGGUCUGAGAGGAUGAUCAGUCACACUGGAACUGAGACACGGUCCAGACUCCUACGGGAGGCAGCAGUGGGGAAUAUUGGACAAUGGGCGAAAGCCUGAUCCAGCCAUGCCGCGUGUGUGAAGAAGGUCUUCGGAUUGUAAAGCACUUUAAGUUGGGAGGAAGGGCAGUAAGUUAAUACCUUGCUGUUUUGACGUUACCAACAGAAUAAGCACCGGCUAACUUCGUGCCAGCCGCCGCGGUAAAAC
rnacentral:rRNA from 1 species